CCCUUCAGAGGGGACAACAGUUGGAAACGACUGCUAAUACCGCAUACGAUCCAAUCUCGGCAUCGAGACUGGAUGAAAGGUGGCCUCUAUUUAUAAGCUAUCACUGAAGGAGGGGAUUGCGUCUGAUUAGCUAGUUGGAGGGGUAACGGCCCACCAAGGCGAUGAUCAGUAGCCGGUCUGAGAGGAUGAACGGCCACAUUGGGACUGAGACACGGCCCAG
rnacentral:rRNA from 1 species